UAAAGAAUUUCGGUCAUCGAUGGGGAUGCGUUCCAUUAGCUUGUGGGCGGGGUAACGGCCCACCAAGGCAUCGAUGGAUAGGGGUUCUGAGAGGAAGGUCCCCCACAUUGGAACUGAGACACGGUCCAAACUCCUACGGGAGGCAGCAGUGAGGAAUAUUGGUCAAUGGGCGCUAGCCUGAACCAGCCAAGUAGCGUGAAGGAUGACUGCCCUAUGGGUUGUAAACUUCUUUUAUAUGGGAAUAAAGUGCAGUAUGUAUACUGCUUUGCAUGUACCUUAUGAAUAAGGAUCGGCUAACUCCGUGCCAGCAGCCGCGGUAAUACGGAGGAUCCGAGCGUUAUCCGGAUUUAUUGGGUUUAAAGGGAGCGUAGGCGGGUUGUUAAGUCAGUUGUGAAAGUUUGCGGCUCAACCGUAAAAUUGCAGUUGAUACUGGCAUCCUUGAGUACAGUAGAGGUAGGCGGAAUUCGUGGUGUAGCGGUGAAAUGCUUAGAUAUCACGAAGAACUCCGAUUGCGAAGGCAGCCUGCUGGACUGUAACUGACGCUGAUGCUCGAAAGUGUGGGUAUCAAACAGGAUUAGAUACCCUGGUAGUCCACACAGUAAACGAUGAAUACUCGCUGUUUGCGAUAUACAGUAA
rnacentral:rRNA from 1 species